CUACAUACAACCGCUCAAAUACAGGUUUAAGCGUUAAAAUGUUAUAUUUUAUCACCUGUAUAUGGCGUGACUUAUAAUU
rnacentral:sRNA from 1 species